rnacentral:tRNA from 1 species
ACUUUUAAAGGAUAACAGUUAUCCACUGGCCUUAGGAGCCAGUAAUGUUGGUGCAACUCCAAGUA